rnacentral:sRNA from 1 species
CCCUUCUCCCCUCCCCCAAGCCAGCACCUGGUGCCCCGGCGGGUCGUGCGGCGCGGCGCGGCGCUAGGCGGCCUCCAAGCCUUUGGGAGUAGCUUCUGAAGAUGAGUUGGUGGCUGAAUUCCUGCAGGACCAGAAUGCACCCCUUGUGUCCCGUGCCCCUCAGACCUUCAAGAUGGAUGACCUCCUGGCUGAGAUGCAGCAGAUUGAGCAGUCAAACUUCCGCCAGGCUCCCCAGAGAGCCCCUGGUGUGGCAGACUUGGCCUUGUCUGAGAACUGGGCCCAGGAGUUUCUUGCAGCUGGAGAUGCUGUGGAUGUAACUCAGGAUUAUAAUGAGACUGACUGGUCCCAAGAAUUCAUCUCUGAAGUUACAGGUAUGAUGAAUAUCAUUCUGAGGAGGAUCUGCAGCACACGGCCAGUGACUUUGUGGCCAAAGUGGAUGACCCCAAAUUGGCUAAUUCUGAGUUCCUGAAAUUCGUGCGGCAGAUUGGCGAAGGGCAGGUGUCCCUGGAGUCCGGUGCAGGGUCGGGCCGAGCUCAGGCAGAACAGUGGGCAGCAGAG